GUUAAGUGAAUAAGGGCGCACGGUGGAUGCCUUGGCACUAGGAGCCGAUGAAGGACGGGACUAACACCGAUAUGC
rnacentral:rRNA from 3 species